rnacentral:sRNA from 1 species
AGCUUUGUGCAGUUGCAGUACUGUAGCCAAUGAAGUUUAUCUGAGGUGGGAUUACUGCUAACUAGAAACUUUUCUUAAAAUAA